rnacentral:rRNA from 1 species
GAAUUUUGCGCAAUGGGCGAAAGCCUGACGCAGUAACGCCGCGUGGAGGAUGAAGGCCUUCGGGUUGUAAACUCCUGUCAGGAGGAACGAUGAGAUGAGAGCGAAGAGCUUUCAUCUCAAGACGGUACCUCCAAAGGACGCCCCGGCUAAUUCCGUGCCAGCCGCCGCGGUAAUACGGAAGGGGCAAGCGUUGUUCGGAAUCAUUGGGCGUAAAGGGCGCGUAGGCGGUCCCGUAUGUCCGCUGUGAAAUCCCACGGCUCAACCGUGUUGGGUCGGUGGAAACUGCGGGACUUGAGGCUGGGAGGGGCUGGUGGAAUUCCCCAUGUAGCGGUGAAAUGCGUAGAGAUGGGGGAGAACACUCGUGGCGAAGGCGGCCAGCUGGACCAGUUCUGACGCUGAGGCGCGAAAGCGUGGGGAGCAAACAGG